rnacentral:lncRNA from 1 species
GCUGUUCUCAAGACCCAGCCCAGGGGCCAGCAAGGGAUGCUGUGGUCUUCUGAGGUCACGCUCCCCGUGUCCCACCCCACAGGCCCCCCCAAGACAGGAAGAGGCCCUGGACAGCUCAGCACUGCAGGUUAGCAGCCAGUCCCUGCCCUGGUGGAAAGGUCAAUGGGAAGGUCAACAUGAUACCCGUGGGAAAGUGUAGCUUUUUUUUUUUCUCUUCUUUUUGCCCCGUUGAGAGCAUCUCUGCCUUCUAGAAAGUUACGCUGAAGGAUGGGCUGAUCCGCCAACACCUCUGGGUUUUCAGCUCAAGUCUGGCUGCUUUAUGACGACUUCCACCUAAUUAAAGAGAACACGGCGUGGACCACGUAGAGCAGCGUGGCG